rnacentral:lncRNA from 1 species
UAUAAAUGAGGAGCAGGGUCACAGUUCCAGAUCAGAAAACAGAGGCGCAAAAGCUCAGAGCGAGGAGCCAGGAAGCAGACAGGGUUUCUCUGUGUGUAUUCCUGGUUGUCCUGUAAUUCACUCUUUAGAUGAGUUGACCUUGAAUUCACAGAUAUCUGCUUGCCUCUUCCUCCUGAAUGCUGGGGUUGAAGGUAUGUGCCACCACACCAAGUCAAAGUAAUCAAUGGUGAUAUGUACCAAGGGGAAAAUAACAUCAUACAGUGUCAUCGGCAUGUCGAAUUUUCCUAUUGGAGCUCUCAUGAGAUCUGAUAUCUUGAUUGCAGUUCUGAAGGAAGAAAUUUCAGAAAUCCUAGCAUGUAGACACAGUUCUGAAAACGAUGUUUCCUGUGCUUCCAUGUAUGUCUUCGUGAGCAUUUCCACUUUACACACUUGAUGGCCUAAUCUGAGGACCCGUGUACUUCACAAAGGGUGGGAAAUCUGCAAAGGCCCAUACACCUCUCUCUACUGUGAGAAGGCCACAAAGGUGGGAAAACACAAUGAUCCUAAGCUCUGUGGUUUUCAAAGAAGUUCAUCAGUGGGGGGAGGAGAAAAUGGAGCAUAAGAGAAGUGUUGGCCAGACGUUCCCAGGAUUCCCAGGAUUCCCAGCAUUGAUUUUUCAGAUUCUGCAGUCCCACCAGGAAACAUGAAUGGGGCCAAAGGAAACAAGAGGAAACAGUGAAACCACCUCAUGAACGUCUGGGGGAUCCUAUGCUGCACAGCUAAAGAUAAGGAUGGCAGAUGAGAGAGGUUCCAGGUUCCACAAUGCUUCAAGAUGGCACAGAACCAACAAGGAAUCCUGAAACUUUAAGAACUGGCACCAUCUUCCAUGUCUGUCCAACUACAAUCUCAAAUUCUCAGUUGAUUUUCCUUCACAAAAGACAUCUUCAAAUUUCAAUGCCUGAGAAACACAACAGAUGGUUACACAUUUGAAUGAAUUAUGUCCGGAAAGGGAUGGCCCAGUCAUAAUGCUGAGAUAUCAGGGGUAGAAAGAGAGCAAACUCAGGAAAAGCUAGAGCAAAGACUGAGGUUACCAGAAUCAUGUAUUGCCUGAGUGUUCUUUGACUACAAUACACACUAUAUAAAUUCUAUACUACCAUUUAUGCAUACUAAUACAGAAAUAUCCUAUAUAGUGGGGAGGGUCAAACUUUCAUUACCUUAUACUUUAUAAAAACAUUCAGCCAAUACUUCAAACCAGGCCGGUGAUGGGGAUAGAUAAUGUUUUGAAUGAAAAUAGAUACACAAGAGUUCCUCUAGUUGUAUAUCAAUAUUAAAAAGAGAAUAUUGAAGGUUAAAAAUAUUAGACUAGCCAGUAACUAUUAAGUCUAGGGAUAGGAAGAGAUUGAAGCUGACUUAAGACUAAAUCAGACAAGAAGAUGUAAGAAAGAAAAGUAACUACCAGACUCUGAGGGCCACAUUGGCAACAUUUUAUAAAACCCCAAAGAUAUAAAAAUAAGAAGCACGAAUAUUCUGAAACCAAUAAAGUACUUUUAGGAAUUUAUCCUCCACACAUGGUGACUUUCAUAAAAGUUGUUUAUGGAAGACCAUUUGGCAAAAUUGCUUGUACUGUCAAAUAUUGAAUGUAAGUUGGAUGUCUACCACAACAAAAUCUAUUAACAAACUAUGCAAAUCCACCUAAUUUAACACUAUACAACCAUUAAAAGUACCCUGAGACAUAGUCAUGAUCUCAGAUAUAUUAUUUAGAGAAGCAACAGGAGGGUGGGACAGACAUGUAUAAUAAAAUACAUUUCUGAAAAUACACAGAACAGCAAAACUCAUACUUCAUAGAAAUCAGAAAAGUUUAACUUUUAAAUCACUUGUGUGCAAUGGAAGAACUGUUUGUUUUUCGUGAAUAAGGAAAUUAACACUGGGGUGAAAACGAUUAAAAGUGAAAUCAGAGAAGACAGAAAUUUAAUGUAAAAACAUUCUAGGGUAAGAAAGAAGCAAGAAACGGUAAAUAUUCCGAAUAAUGAAAGAGUGUUUUCUGAGUUAAAAUUUCCAGACUCAAGAAUUCCAUGAAUGGUAAGUAACAUUACAAAUGGAAUGGUGUUCAUGCUUUAAAUUGUAGAAACAAUGAAAUUUAUCUUAUAAAGUCAGAAGUUCCUACUUCAAAUGAGAGCUUGUCAUCUCAAAUACCACUUCUGUAACAUUAGAUGAAAAGGAUUUCAGUGUCAGGACAUAAAGUAUCUGUAGUGCUUUCAAAAUUAUAUCUUACCCAAAUUACUCUCCUAAUGAAUAUGUAUAUAUAAGACCAGAUAAUCUCAGGAAUACAUGUAACAAAAUGGACAGAAACAUUGCAAAAAUAGUAAAGUAUUAAAAAGAAAACUGAAGUAAUGUUUCAUACAAAUUGAAUUUUAUGGCCCCAAACUAUGAAAUUCUUGAUACUGAUGCUCAUGAGCACAGAAUGAAGGGUGUAGCUGCUGAUAUGUGCUGUUAUGCUAUGUGCUGAUAUGCUUUGAUAUGCUAUGCUAUGCUAUGCUGCACUAGAUAUGAUAUGAUAUGACAUGAUAUGAUCUGUGGAAACAUAUUCAGGCAUAUUUGUACAAACUGAGAAAAUUUAUCUGCAUCAUCAACUUUCUUGGGUGA